rnacentral:misc_RNA from 1 species
CUUAUUAAUUAAUAAUAACAAAAAAAUAAAAUUAUCUAUUUUAAGUUAUUAAGCUAAAAGAAUUUAUAAUUAAGUUGUAAUAAAUAAUUAUACUUAUUCUAGUAAUUAAGUUCAAUUUAUUAUAAAAUAAAUAACCUGGGGAUGUCAUGGAUUUGACAGGAUAUCUUUAGUACAUAUAAGCAGUAGUGUUGUAGACUAUAAAUACUACUAGGUUUAAAAAAACGCAAAUAAAAACGAAGAAACUUUUGAAAUGCCAGCAUUUAUGAUGAAUAAUGCAUCAGCUGGAGCAAACUUUAUGUUUGCUUAAUAACUACUAGUUUAGUUAUAGUAUUUCACGAAUUAUAGAUAUUUUAAGCUUUAUUUAUAACCGUAUUACCCAAGCUUAAUAGAAUAUAUGAUUGCAAUAAAUAUAUUUGAAAUCUAAUUGCAAAUGAUAUUUAACCUUUAGUUAAUUUUAGUUAAAUAUUUUAAUUAGAAAAUUAACUAAACUGUAGAAAGUAUGUAUUAAUAUAUCUUGGACGCGAGUUCGAUUCUCGCCAUCUCCACCAUUAAGAAAAAUAAUCUGGCUUAGUUGACUAAGCC